GUGAGUGAAUUAAUUAUUAAGCAGCUUAGCACAAUCGAUGCAAUAUUGUUGCUGUGUUUCCUUGUAGAUAUUUUUGGAGUUUGCUUCAAUAUUUAAUCAAUCCCAAACCUUAGGUCAUUAGGAAAUGUAGACUCCAGGCUUCCUCCGGGUACAGCUUGUGUAUGCGGUCAGCCCACAGAAGGACGAGAACCGGGGGUGCGGAUCUCUGGUUUUAAAGAGCCUCCCCCCCGCCCCCGACCUCUGCACAUCCACUGUUUAAAGGAAAGGUCAGGAGACACGUCUCACAGGCUGUUCUCUUGUCUGCCUUUUUCAAUAAAUAAUUUUAAAAAAUUUAAGGAUAGUUGAUUUACAAUGUUGUUAGUUUCAGGUGUACAACAAAAUGAAUCAGUUAUAUAAACAUGCUUUUGCAGGCUCUUCUCCCAUUUAGGUUGUUACAGAGUAUUGGGUGGAGUUCCCGGUGUGGUUCGGUAACCAAAUGUUACCAUAAGUUACUCCAUGUCCAUGAGUCCAUUUCUAUUUUGUAUCUAAGUUCAUUAGAAUCCUUUUUUUUUUUUUUUAGAUUCCACAUAUAAGUGAUAUUAUAUGAUACUUGUCUGCCUUUUUAAAAACACAGGCGGUGGAGAAGGAAAUGGCAACCCACUCCCGUAUUCUUGCCUAGAGAAUCCUGUGGACAGAGGAGCCUGGUGGGCUGCCGUCUCUGGGGUCGCACAGAGUCGGACACGACUGACGCGGCUUAGCUGUAGCAGCUGCAGCGCCACAAAGUGAAAAUAUAGGUCACUAACUACAAACCACCAAAGGGUCCCUUCCCACUUAAACCAAGGUCGUGCACUUUAUGCCUGAACUUUUGUUUAUUUUUUGUCUUCAUUCAUAUCUUGGUAGUUUUCCCUGCUUUCCAAUAAAGUUUUUCUAUGAGGGCUAAAAAAAAAAAAAAAAACCCACAGGCGGGGUUGCGUCAUUUGCCAAUCCUUGAAUCGCCGUGAUGCCAGGGAGUCGGCUGUGGUGGGGUCCUUGCUGAGGACCGCGAGAAGCGGGGUGGCCAUCCCCAGGCGCCGUGGCCCGGGCUUCUCCUUAUCAGUGAGUGAGCAGCGGGGCCACAGAGGGAGGCCUCUGUGUUCCUGGUGUUUGCUGUCGUGGAUGUGGAGGUGGCGUCCUGCCCCGACGUGUGACCGGACUCGGCUGCAUUUUCUACUCGACCCAGUAACUUUUCAGUGAGCGAGUUGCUUCACUGGGUGCCAGGUCAAGGUGCGGCCGGGGCCCUGGAAAGCCCCCUUGCUUCCCCGUCUCCCCGCCACUGCCGUGAGGCUGACGCUUCCUCUCACCGUGUGCGAGUCCCCCUCCCGGGUACAGCCGUGGCCCGUCCGCGGACAAGGCGGCCUUUCCCAGCCGUGAGUGCCUCCCGCGGUGGCCGCCGAGCCCACCAGCUGAGCACCGCGGCCACGCGGCCUGCUCGACAGCCAGUCUGGGGCGCGGUGCCUGCAGGCCUGGCUCCCCCCAGAGCCCAGUGGGGCCUGUCCACAUGCCAGUGGAGGCGGCGGGUGGUCCUCAGCCCGUAGGAGCAUCUCUGCAGUCUCUGCCCCCAUCUCCACGUGGCAUCUCUGCGUCUGGGUCUGUUUCCCACGUCCUGGGGGGACGCCGGCCAUGUGGAGGUAACUCUGGGGGG
ensembl:lncRNA